rnacentral:lncRNA from 1 species
GCCGGGUUUUGUCACCGUCAGGAUGAGGUUCUCCUUCCAUUCCUGACGUAGUCGAUCUCAGCUCAGGUUAGGAUGAGGUUCUCCUCUUGUUCCCAAUGGGGCUGUGGGGGCACAUAAGGGUCAUUGCAAGGGCCUCUCCCCCCAUUCAGUCUAGAAGAAUCGGGCCUUCGACUUUGCUCAUGUCAGGAUGAGGUUCUCCUCCUGUUCCUGACAUGGCUGUGGGGGCGCAUUAGGGCGUUGUAAGGCCUCUCCCCCCAUCCGAUCUAAAAGAACUGGGCCUUUGACUUUGCUCAUGUUAGGAUGAGGUUCUCCUCCUGUUCUUGACAUGGCUGUGUGGGUGCAUUCGGGUGUUGUAAGACCUCUCCCCCCAUCCGAUCUAAAAGAACCGGGCCUUUGACUUUGCUCAUGUCAGGACGAGGUUCUCCUCCUAUUCCAAACAUGGCUGUGGGGGCGCAUUCGGGCGUUGUAAGGCCUCUCCCCCC